GUGGGGAAUUUUGGACAAUGGGCGCAAGCCUGAUCCAGCCAUGCCGCGUGCAGGAAGACGCAUCUAUGGUGUGUAAACUGCUUUUGUACGGGAAGAAACACUCCCUCGUGAGGGAGCUUGACGGUACCGUAAGAAUAAGGAUCGGCUAACUCCGUGCCAGCAGCCGCGGUAAUACGGAGGAUCCAAGCGUUAUCCGGAAUCAUUGGGUUUAAAGGGUCCGUAGGCGGUUUAAUAAGUCAGUGGUGAAAGCCAAUCGCUCAACGAUGGAACAGCCAUUGAUACUGUUAGACUUGAAUUACAAGGAAGUAACUAGAAUAUGUAGUGUAGCGGUGAAAUGCUUAGAUAUUACAUGGAAUACCAAUUGCGAAGGCAGGUUACUACUUGUGGAUUGACGCUGAUGGACGAAAGCGUGGGGAGCGAACAGGAUUAGAUACCCUAGUAGUCC
rnacentral:rRNA from 1 species